rnacentral:lncRNA from 1 species
UUUAUUAUUGUAAUAAUAAUAAUGACAACAAUAAAUAAGGGUGCAUGUGUGUAUAUUAGAAAUAAGAAGUCAUUUUAAUAUACUUUUGAAGCACAAACAUUUAAAACAGAGAAACUUUGUGAAAUACAAACAUUGUUGCUUGAUAUAAAAAAAAUAUUUAUUUCAUUUUAAUUAACGGAUGCUGGAGAUUCAAUUUAGAUUAUCAUUUAAUGAACCAAAUUUAACCCUUUAGCAUUGAAGCUGGCCGUAUCCAGCCAAAAUAUUCUGUUUUAUGUACAAACUUGCCAAUUCUGACCUCUAACACCUACCCUACAAUGUCAUUCUACAAAUAUACAGUCACAUCAUUGAAAUCUCAAAGCUACAAAAUAAUACAUGAUUAAUUCAAAACGAUGCAAAUAAUUAACUAGAGUUACAUUUGAAAAAGUAAUUUGCAUGUAAAGUGUUUACAUGAAACAUCGUGUUGUAUACAACUUGUGCAUAUUUUGUAUAUGAAGCAUCUGCUGGGUUUUCCAGGGAUAGGUUAUCAUUGCCCUCUCCCAAUCUUUAAAAAGGUUAGGUCAGAUAUCAUUUUCAUCUCUAUACUACAUACACACUCAUGCAGUGUUUGUGUAUUGAAGUAGUUUAUAAAUCUCUUAGUUGGUACUUAAUUUCUUAUGUGCGUCUGUUCAAACGACAGCAAACUUAAUGGAAUUUUUCAGUUCAUCGCUUUGCUGCAUGAUCUAUCGCAUAUAGUGAAAAACUCUUAGAAACUGAAUUUUCAGCCUUUUCUCAUGCAUGUAGAGUUGCCAGUGCAAAUGAAACAAAGUUGAGCUAAGGGAAUUAACUCGGAAUGGCCAUUGGCUUAUAGUGGAAAGGUAUUGAACAAGGAAACAUUAAAUAUACAAAGUAAAUUUUUAUAUUUAUUGAAAUUAUGUCCUCUUCAAGAACAGCUAGAACAAUCACUUGGUGGCAGUUGAAACCAUAUGCAAAUGCUAAAUGUAGGUAGAAUCAAAUUUUCUCUAAAACUGACCUACCAUUAAAGAAAACCAGUUUGAUUGUGAGGAGAUGAUAACUGAACAAUUUUUUUCUAACUUAGGUGUCACCAGCAUAUAUAUAUAUAUAUACACAUACAUAACUAUACAUAUACAUAAACAGAUAUGUGUAUAUAUAUAUAUAUAUAUAUAUAUAUAUAUAAAUGGGAUUAAAAGAUCCUGGCAAAUAUCAAUUAAGUGUUCAGUAUAAAAUGAUGUGGUUAAAUUUCCAACAAUCAGAUACUAGUAAAUGUAAGUAGAUUACAAAUCCCAGGUAAAUUCAACAAUUGUUUCAAUGAUAUAUAUAUAUAUGUAUGUAUGUAUAUAUAACAAUUUAAUUAGGUAUUAAAUAACCACCUAAGAUAUAUUAAGUAUCCAAAGAAUUUACUGAUUUUUCAUGAAAUAUUUAAGAAGAUAUGUCAAUCUGAUGAAAUCUCAUUAUAUUUAAACGGGAUUUUAUUAUUCUUGAAAAAUUUGGUUUUAUUAAUGAAGUGGAAACAGCUGUAAUUUAUGAGAUGCGUCGUUUGUUUGUAUAAAAUAAUAAAAUUGAAUUGAAUUUAUCAUUUAAUGAUUAAAUUAUUUAAUUGUUCAAUUUAUUGUUUUUUGUUUCCAUUAAUAAUAAUAUCCUCGAAAAUAAAUGUUAAUACAUUACCAAAGUAAUCUAAAUUGGUGAAAUUCCAACUGAACAUCUGAAAAAAUUUUAGCAGUUAAUAAACGCUAACAAAAAAAAAAACCACCUAAAUCAAAUUGAACUUAAAACAUUCUUUCAUUCAACCAUUAGCAACGUCAUUGAAUAACUAAUUUGCUUAAUGAAAAGAGAAAUAAAAAUAAAGAAAUAAACAUAUUUAUGAAAAGUCAUUCAAUUGUUGGAGAUUCACAUUGAAGUUACUAAUGAUGAAAUUCAAAUAAAAGAUAAAAAUAAAGCACAAUACUAAUUCUACAUUUUGACAAUUUGAAAUCUAUAUAGAAAAAUAACCUGAAAAUAAGUAUUUUUACAUGCAAUUAUUGAUGAUGUUGCUGGAUAAUUAGAGAAUAAAAAUUAUAGACAAGGAUUCUACAGUAUGCUUAAGAGAUAACUAAAGAAUAAAAACCACACAUACGUAUAUAUAGGUGUGCAUAUAUAUGUGUGUAUACAUACGUAUACACACACACACACACACAUAUAUGUGUGUAUGGCUGUGUGGUAAGUAGCUUGCUUACCAACCACAUGGUUCUGGUUUCAGUCCCACUGUGUGGCACCUUGGGCAAGUGUUUUCUACUAUAGCCUCGGGCUGACCGAAGCCUUGUGAAUGGAUUUGGUAGACAGAAACUGAAAGAAGCCUGUCAUGUAUAUGUUUGUGUGUCUGUGUUUAUCCCCCCCCCCCUCACCAUAGCUUGACAACUGAUGUUGAUAUGUUUACGUCCCCAUAACUUAGCAGUUCGGCAAAAGAGACUGAUAGAAUAAUAAGUCCUGGGGGUCGAUUUCUUGGACUAAAAGGCAGUGCUCCAGCAUGGCUGCUGUCAAAUGACUGAAACAAAUAAAAGAAUUACACAAACACACACACACACAUAUAUUUAUUUAUAUAUAUGUUUAUGAGGAUUAAUUGCUGGUUUAAAGAACCAGGAGAAGAAAAUAAAAUAUUGGUAAGAAUGUAGCAAAAGAAAAUCUUCAGACAAUGUUUUGGAGGAAGCUAUUAUAAUAAUAAUUAUAAUAUUUUCUUGUAUUGGCCCCGAGGGCCUAUGCUACUGGGUAUAAUACAAGGAAAUUUUCUUUUUAAAAAAAAUUAAAGUGGGGUUUACAUUGAGUAAAAGGGUGUCAGUAUAGUAACAGAGUUAAUUUUCGGAACCAUCUAAGCUACUUAAUGAGUUGUAGAGAAGAUAAAUUCUUGUGUCAAUCUGUUAUUUCCUUAAUUUAUUAGUUAUCUCCAUAUAAUAAUAAAUGUUAUAGAUUUCAGUUGAUUGAUUUCUCCAGUCACACUUUACAUUGUAUAGAAAGGGGGAGAGGGCGUAAAAGAGAGAAUUAACAUGGAGGGUGCAGGUUGAGUGCACAUACUAGGCUUUGUGGAAGGAGGAGGAAGAGUAGGGGUAAAGGACAGUUAUGGAUGGAGUUAUGAAAAUGAGAAAUUUGUUUUACUUAAUUUCAUUUUAAGCUCAUAAAUAUUUUCUUUUAGAAAUUAAUACUCAUUCCUUCAUAAAAACCAAAAUUGUUGAUAAAAUAAUUGUUUGUAUGGCAUAUUUCUUGAUAUUACCCAUGGUGGCAAAAGUUUAAAAGUAUACUUCCAAAAUUACCCUUAAUGGUUUAAUUUCCUCUUUGAAAUUAUUAAGUUUCUAUUUUAAGUACCUCAUCUAUAAUUUUUAUAUAUAUAUCUGUAAGAUAAUAUGUGACAAUUAUUCAAUAGCCAAGAUAAAACUCUGAGUUUCGGAUGCCAAAGUGGAAAUCCACCACAACAUCUCUUCGGUUAUCUGGCCAGAGUUUUAUCUUGGCUAUUGAAUAAUUGUCACAUAUUAUUUUACAGAUAAAUUUCCUCUAUUUACAUAAUAUUGAGGUCUCUUUCUUUCUUUUGUUAUCUUACCGUUUUUACCAAUAUAUAUAUAUAUAUAUAUAUAGGUGAGCUCUGAAGAAAUAGUUCUUUUUGAUCAAGGACUAUGAACCACCAUGAUCAUCCAAUAUUUAUUUCAGACAAUAUAUUUAGGACCGUGUCAUCCAAUUUUCUUUUUAAAGAGACUGUGAGGUAAUAUAUACAAAAGAGAUUUGUUUGCGAAUUUAUGCAGGUCGUGCGACCACAUUGGGGCUUCCUUGCUGGUUUGUUAUAUUGCUUGUUUUUAAUGUCGGUCUAAUCAAAGAAAUGCGAAGUAUGUACAUAAUCACAGAUCAUUGAUCAUAACAAAACGGAUGGAAGACAAACACACACAUACAAACACACAUGUUCAGGUGGAUCUUAUAAAUACAUAACAAUUGUGGUGUGCUAAUUCAGAUUGAGUUUUAUUGUACUAUAGACAAGGCAUUCUAGACAAGGUGUCUUGCUCUCGUUGUGAAAUUGUUAUCCGAAAAUCUGCGUUCUUCGAGAAAGAUUAUUAUUUCAAAAACAAGUAAGUGUGCGGCUUGUUCAGUGAAUUUGACAGCUUACAUCAAGCAAAAGAAUGCAUAUAUAUGCUGAGUCAGUGGUUUUGUGCAUUUUUCUCCUUUAUCAUACAGCCUAGUCAAAAGAGGAAGGAAAAAACACCCAUGAUCCCAUAACCUUUUGCGUGGUCUCUGAGAUUACUGAAAGGUUGGAGCAGGGGUGAAUAAAUGAAGGGUGGAAUAAAUGGCAACUCUUGAAUUGCUACUGUGGAAAUCAGCACUUCAAUCAAUAUAUUGAGUUAUCUUCAGACCAGAGACUCUGCUAAAGGUGAGCUGGGCCAAGUCAUGGUGUUCAACAGAGUGAUAUAUUAGGACUGCCACGCAAAAUCUAUGUAAUUUUUAUGUAUAAUUGUAUUAGUAUUUUUGCUAUUUUAAUAAUUUAUAGACAUGGUUGUGCCUGGCCUGACGGUUCUUAAAGUUGCACACAUACACACACACACACAUAUAUUUAUGUCUGUGUAUAUAUAUAUUUAUAUAUAUACAUACAUACAUACACACACACAUGUAUAUGCCAUAUACUCCUAUGAUAUGUUUGUAUAAAAUGUAUUUCUAAAUAAAACAAAUUAUUAUAUUGGAGAUUA